CACUCACUCACUGGUUUGUUCAAUAUGAUCAAAUUAAACAAAUGUGUGAAACAUGUGACGCCCUAACUCAUAUAUGCUCAUAUAUGUUUGUGAACCAAAAAUCCAAAUCUGUAAUCUGGAUUAAAUCCGGAUGAAAUUUUAUUCCAUGGUAGAGUGUCCGACCCUGCAUACACACACCAAAUUCCGUCCAAAUCCGAUGAGAUAUGACAGAGAUAUUAAUACAAUGUUUUACAGUUUUGCCCAUUUAAAGAGAACGGGAUUUGUUUAAACUUUGAUGACGUUUUGCAACGUCGCCGCUGGGUCGAUUCUGACCAAAUUUGAAUGGGAACAUACUCGGGCAAUCACCUACCCGCCACAAAAAAAUCUGAUUGAUCCUUCAAAAACUGCGUACAGAAAGUUGCUAAAAGGAGAGCAAGCUUACAGAUAAAAAUGCAGAUGUCCUCAGUUUACAGCGUUUCCUGUCACCGAAUCCCAGAAGCUUCUGUGCGACCGUUUGUUUCCGAGCCGUUUUAAAACCGCGCGACGUGUCUCUCCGUCUCUCCGAGAGACACAGAUGCUAAAGAGACGCCGCCGAGGGACGUGCAGAUUUAAACCCUCGUCUCCAGAGGACGCAGAUGUGGAUGCCCGGGAAUUUGCCCGGGUGAGCACGACGCGGUGUCACCGUCAGUGUUUGCUUCUAUGUAAGGACAAGUCAUGUAUGUUGUUGUUUUUUUUACUCUGCGUCUGUGUGUGUGUGUGGAAUGUGAGUCCUGAGGGAAACUGGAGGAGAAGCGGGUGAACGCUGAGGCCUCACACUCAACCCCCUGCAUGCCUCGGACUCCUUUGCAGACAAGUUCAGACACACAAAACUCCUUCAACUCUUUUUCCAGGAAGACAUUUCAAGUAGAGGACAGGACCUCCAUCCAAGGACUGAAAUACACCGGGACACAGUAUGUCCCUCUGUAGUGAAGCACGUCCUGGAGGUAUUGUAUCUUCUGAGUCCAGAGAAAGACAUUUGUCCCCCAUGCAGAAGAGUGAGAAUGCUUCCAGGAUGGACAGAAAUAAUUUGCAGGUCACGGAUCAGUGGGAGCUCCAGAGGACGUCUUCCCUGCACCCGCAGCAGCCCAGCAGGACGCCACUGACCUCUGGCGUCCAGAGAAUGUCCUCUGUUCCAUGUUUGGUCUGUGGAGACGGACAAACCCGGCGUGAAGCCUUCAAGGUUGUGACCUUUCAAAGUGAGCGUGGCCACGAGUUGAGGACCUUACAAGAACUGAGAAGAAUUCAGACUGAGGACAUCUCCAAGGUUCAUGACCGAGCGCAGACUCUUUUCCUGCUUCGGGGUGACGGAGAUAACAAGUCCCCCGUGGGACGAGAAGGACACAGUGAGACAGAAGACAGAAGGGUUAAACAUGAAGAAAUGGAAGCUGCAGGAGGAAAAGUCGAGGUGAAAGGUGAGAGUCAAUUCUCUCACGGGGAAAUGUUACGGUGGGAACUGCGUGUCCAGCAGAGACACCCACACGUCUGGACACCCAAACAUCUCAUCAGCGCUGGACCUGAUUUAGUUCCCCCUCGGGUCUGCAGGAACCAGGAAGUCGCUGUUGGUUUAAAAGCAGGGAUUCCGACCACAACAUGGACAGUGUCUCAAGCCCCGACGUGGAAACUCUGUCCACAAGCUGCGAUGAAACGGAAACACAUUUCCCUCUGUGGCCAAGACGAGGAAAUGGCACUUCAAACUCUCACUGGGGCAAAGGUCAAGAACAAGCCUCGGCAGGGACAACAUAGCACAAGCAGAGAUUAAACAGCUUUGAAACGCACUUUGUUUCCCACAGAUUCCAAUGUAAGAAGCUCAGGUGUCUUCAUCAGCCGCAGCUGUGACUAUGAGGAUGAAGAUAACCCACUCUCGCAGUGUCACCACUUUCCCAAGCUCCCAUUUCUCCCACUCUACUCCGGCCCUCGGGAUUCCCAUUUAAACUCAGCAGUGAAAUGGAAAGUGAAGCAAGACCAGAAACUUGGAUCUGGACAACAAUCGUCUCCCUCCGCCUCCAACACAAAUAAUGGUUUUCAAAAGCAAAGCAUGACGUUCCAGAUAAACCGGUCAUGUGGACAUUGUGGGGAUUUCACAGAGAAAAGGCAAAGAGCAGCUGCACAGGAGGAAACUCCCUGUUCGACAGUGAUGAGUGUGAAGACGUGAGGAAUCGACACAAACUGGCACUGAGGGAAGAUCAGAGAGAAAGCGAAUGGUCUGAAGUGAAUCGACAGCUCCACGAGCUGAUGAUGAGAGAAAACUCUGAGCCAAGAAGGAAACUCAGCCGCACCACAGCGCCCUCUCCUGGCCAAUAGGUGCACCGCACCAACACGCUCUCAGAAGCUGCAGUUAGAAAAAGAGGUGCAUUUCUAUGCCGCGUCACAAACCACACGCGUGUCCUACCCGUGUGGUCUGCAGCUUCUUCACUUCCUCAACAAACAGAUCGAGUGGAGACAUCCUGGAGGGAGGCGAGAGAUCUUAUUUCCAGACCAGACCCUGAAGUUCGUGGAGUCUGGAGGCAGCGAGACGACGACAAUCUUCAGCGACGGUACCGUCGUCCACAUAGCGCCGAACGUGAGACUCCAGUCAGACAUCAAUAAAUAAUCAAUAGUGAUAUCACUGAGUUCUGAUAUCAGCUGUUUAAUAAUGGAUCCAAACACAGGCGAGUUAAAGGUACAGUGUGUGAAUUUUACUGUCAACAGUUUCAUCUUCAGUAUCUGACAGAUAAUCAAGUUUUCCGACAAAUAUUUUGCACCAAAAAACUGCAACUAAUCUUGUAUAAAGUACCUUAAAGUCAUGUAAAAGUAUGUUAACAGAAAAUGACU